AGUGACAUUGCUCAAUGGCAUCUGAAGUGGCAGCAGACCAGCCGGACUCUCAGGCAUGGACCUGUGUGGGAAGUUCAAGGAGAGCAAGAUGAAGGAAGAUAACAACAAAGAAUGUAAAUGCUUGUUUCUGUGAAAGCUCCUAUUCAAAUCAUAUCUUCAGCUCCCAGAAAAAUCCUGAUUCAUGAGAGAGAAACAGAAUACCAUGAGAGGCCAAAUAGGAAAGUCCUUCCCAGGAGCUCAUUGUGGCUGGAUGUGUCUGGUCACCCCUCCUGCUGCCUGGGAAGCCAAGCUGGUCCAUGCUAUGUGUCUGAGAAGCACCGGAGAUCGACCCAACAGCUUCCAUCUGAACAUCUGAUGCUAACAGUUAGACAUUUUUAAAACACUGGGCUCAACUCCGCAUUUCCAUACAACCUAUGAUGAAUGCCGAGAGGGGGCUAAGUUGCCCUUCCACCUGCAAGAAGCGUCUGAUGAGCAGUGAAGUUGUCAAACUAAGCCCACAUUGCCUGUGGUGUAGACCUGGAGUAGCGACCUCAUGAUGAGAAAGGUUUGGAUGCACAAAUGCUUUGUUAACAAGUUUGAAGUUCCCGCUGCCUGCUCUCAGCUGAAGGCGUGGUAAGGCCACACGCACUGCCGAACGAGUGCAGCUUGGAUCCGAGCAGGUGUAACCCACUGCGGGCAUCAGCUCCAGCCGCAGCGGCACUCACUGCAAACCCCUUCUUGACAGACGACAAGAGACAAGGGGAAGCAACAUGAGGAGGAGGGAACUUCUCAGAGAAACCGAGAUCCACGGUUUGUAAGGGUCUUGUGGUGGUUCGUCUCAUCUGGCCCGGUCACUCCGGUCCUUCUUCCCUUUUCCAUCAUGCUUCUCCUGCAACAGCUGUGGCCUGCACAGUACUCAAGGAAAGGAUAAACCUGUGCAGCUUCUCCCAAAACAGCGGUUUAUAUUAUUGUGGUGGUUUGAACCUUUACGUGGAGUAUUUCAGUUUUGACCUCUCCCUGAUAUCCAUGUGCUGCCUUAGGCACAUGCAGUGUAUUACUGCGGUCCCUCCUCACCCAUGGAGGAUGGUAUGGAAACCAUAUGUGUGUAGGAUAUAGCAUUAUAUAUAAAUUUAUAUUAUUAUAUUGA